UGUGUGACUGUUUUCAAACUAAAACACAAGUGUAGAAAAAGUUUUUUUUGUCAGGUUAAAUGAUUUUUGAAUAAAUUAUGUCUUUCAUUUUUACACCUCAGUAUAUAUUUUGAUAUUUGUGGGUUUUAUUUCUUCCAGUUUCAGAUUAAAAUCUUGAUUUUUUUUUCACUUUUAGUUUCAGAAUUAAAUCAAAAUUAUAUUUAACCUGAAAAAUACACUGAAUGUGAGUUUGAAUACAUAGUUUCAGUCUCCAAGUUUUUUAUUUUCUAAAUGAUGGAAACCGUUGACAGAUGUAGCUUCACGUUUGAGUGUUACCAGCCAAAGUUUAGUCUUAAAGUACUUCAUAUAUCCAGUAUGUUUUACUGCAUGAUGAUACUAAACUGUUGUUUUUAGAGCACACAGAAGUAGUAUUUUAUAACAUGAAGAUGAGUGUGUUUAAUAAAUGUAAAAUGUUGGUAAUACAGAGAGCUGAGACACACUUCA